rnacentral:rRNA from 1 species
UAGUAAUCGUGGAUCAGCAUGCCACGGUGAAUACGUUCCCGGGUCUUGUACACACCGCCCGUCACACCAUGGGAGCCGGUAAUACCCGAAGUCAGUAGUCUAACCGCAAGGAGGACGCUGCCGAAGGUAGGAUUGGCGACUGGGGUGAAGUCGUAACAAGGUAUC